rnacentral:rRNA from 1 species
GACGAACGCUGGCGGCGUGCCUAAUACAUGCAAGUCGAACGGUCUUUUCUAUGGAAGCUUGCUUCCGCUGAGAAGAUAGUGGCGAACGGGUGAGUAACACGUGGGUAACCUGCCCAUAAGAGGGGGAUAACAUCCGGAAACGGGUGCUAAUACCGCAUAGUUUUCUUGAUCGCAUGAUUGAGAAAGGAAAGACGGCCUUUGUGCUGUCGCUUAUGGAUGGACCCGCGGCGUAUUAGUUAGUUGGUGAGGUAACGGCUCACCAAGACGAUGAUACGUAGCCGACCUGAGAGGGUGAUCGGCCACAUUGGGACUGAGACACGGCCCAAACUCCUACGGGAGGCAGCAGUAGGGAAUCUUCCGCAAUGGACGAAAGUCUGACGGAGCAACGCCGCGUGAGUGAAGAAGGUUUUCGGAUCGUAAAACUCUGUUGUCAGAGAAGAACAAGUUGGAGAGUAACUGCUCCAGCCUUGACGGUAUCUGACCAGAAAGCCACGGCUAACUACG